CCAAUCAGCGGGGAACCAGUUUAGUUCGAAACGAGACCCAAAGACAUCGGAUCGGGAUCGAUAAUCUAAAACAUGAAUCAACAAGCCUCGUUUUGAUGUACACGCUGCGAAGGACAAAAGACUUGAAACGGUAGUAGGACGUUAUUUGGUAUUGACGAUUGAAUUGAAUAGUGUGUUAAAUCAUGUCAUCAAGAGGAAAUGACCAGCGAAUUUACGUAGGAAAUCUACCACCUGACAUUAGGGCCAGAGAUAUCGAGGAUUUAUUUUACAAGUUUGGGAGAAUUACGUUUGUGGACUUAAAAACAAGGCGCGGUCCGCCAUUUUGCUUCGUGGAAUUCGAGGAUCCAAGAGAUGCAUCAGAUGCUGUUCAUGAAAGAGAUGGAUAUAACUAUGAUGGAUACACUCUGAGAGUAGAAUUCCCACGAGGUGGAGGACCUGGAGGACAAAGGUCGGGGGGAGGUGGCUUUGGAUUUCGUGGAAGUAGUCGUGGAAUGGGAGGCGGGGGUCGAGGGGGACCUCCAUCGAGACGAUCUGAAUACAGAGUGUUGGUGUCUGGUUUACCACCAUCUGGCAGCUGGCAAGAUCUAAAAGAUCACAUGAGGGAAGCAGGGGAUGUUUGUUAUGCUGAUGUCUACAAAGAUGGUACUGGUGUUGUGGAAUUUCUCAGAAAAGAGGACAUGAAGUAUGCUGUACGCAAACUGGAUGAUUCCAAGUUCAGGUCUCAUGAGGGAGAAGUAGCUUACAUUCGUGUGAAGGAAGAUUACAGAGGCGGUGGAGGAAGAUCAAGAUCUCGCAGCAGGAGUGCCUCACCUCCGAGGCGAUCCCGAGCAUCACCCAGAUAUUCUCCUGUCAGAAAUCGAUCUAGGUCAUAAAUUGGAAUCUCUAGUGACACCAAGAUCAAGAAAAGAUGGAUAGGUGGUAGAGAUGUUAUAUCGCAUUCAUAUGGAAGACAGUCAAUGGUAUUUGCUCUGUUGGAAUUUUGGAUCAUUAUGAUGGCAAGCUUGGAUAUUUAGGAUAACAAGCUUGGAUGAAUUGGAUAAUGAUGUUUGGAUAUUAGGAUACAUGCUGGGAUAAUUGGGAUAACUAGCUGGGAUCAUUUAGGAUCAAGGGAUCAGGAUUUGGAAUUUUUCAGUCCCCCUUCAAAUGAAGGAAUCUUACUGGAUGGAUCCUGAUGCCCAAACUGGAAAUUUUUGGAAUUAAGGAAUCCAUCUUACUAGGCAAAUGUGUACCUCAGGGUUAAGUUUUGAAAUCCAAUAAAAAGCAAGUCUUGUAGUAAAGAAAGGUGCUUCAUAAGUUGUCUUCUGAACAAAUGAAAUGCUAUUGUAUGUUGGUGGUGAAUAUUGGAGCACCUUUGUUUAUUACUAUUCUUGUCAAUGGAAGCACAUAUAUUUUAUGGAAGGAAUAUACAGGACUUGGGAUAAAACUGCUGGGAUUUAUGUGCCCAGUAUAGUAUUUGGACCACGGGUUCAGGGAACAAGGAAAGGAUGGAUGGAACACUACCUCAGCUUAACACAAGGAGUAGGAAUGUGGAAGGAAAUUAUAUCCUUCCAAACGUUUACUCAAAUCAGAAUGUUUUUAAAGGAAGACAGAUUUUAAUCUGUAAAUAAAAAGGUUGGUUUGGGAAAAAUCCCAUAUUAUUGACUGUUAACAAAGGAUUUCUAACAGGGCUCAUAUCUUUUUGGAUUCAGUCCACCGGAAAAUUAAGUUUCGCAUACAUGUUGGAAAAGCUAUGUUUUUUGGAUAUACAGAACAAUGUGGAGUCGGGACUUGCUCUCACUUCUUGAGGGAUCUUUCAACUUGUAUUUUGGAAUUCUGAGGAGGAUUCUUAUUGGAAUAAGCUAUGGAUAGGAAAGUUGGUAAGUGGAGGCCAAAUGCAUUUACUCCUUAAAGAAAAGGGUAAUGAAAGUGUAUGGGGUUGUUUGUACAAUGGAGGAAUCUAAUAUAAAGCUUUCCUUGAAUGGAAAUCCAUUAAUCUCUGAAAUGCAUCAAUUAUGGUAAUAAAUAUUUUAUAUCCAAGAGUAACUCUCUCUCUCUCUCUCUCUCUCUCUGUGAAAGUAUUUUAUUACAGUUUUAAUUUUUCAGUUUAUUCAAUAAACCAUUCACAACAAA